rnacentral:lncRNA from 1 species
CUCCAGAUUUUGUGGAAGACUACAACUUCAAAUACAGUAAGAUCUUUGCCAUUCAGCAUUUUGGGACUAACUUGAGCAAGUUGAGCAAAAUUAAAAACAAUCUUCCUAACAUAUUCAAUGUGCCACGCAUGAGGUGGCACAUCAUACAGAUGUAGUAGAGCAUGAACCUACAAAUGACAAGGGGCCGCAUUUUUGCAGGAC